rnacentral:rRNA from 1 species
UGCCAGCCGCCGCGGUAAUACGGAGGGCGCAAGCGUUGUUCGGAUUUAUUGGGUUUAAAGGGUGCGCAGGCGGAAUAUUAAGUCAGUGGUGAAAGCCCACAGCUCAACUGUGGAAUUGCCUUUGAUACUGUCAAGCUUGAAUUAGGUUGAGGUUGGCGGAAUGUGACAUGUAGCGGUGAAAUGCAUAGAUAUGUCAUAGAACACCAAUUGCGAAGGCAGCUGGCUAGACCUUAAUUGACGCUGAGGCACGAAAGCGUGGGGAGCGAACAGGAUUAGAUA